UGAUGUGAGGGCGAUCUGGCUGCGACAUCUGUCACCCCGUUGAUUGCCAAGGGUUGAUUCGGCUGAUCUGGCUGGCUAGGCGGGUGUCCCCUUCCUCCCUCACCGCUCCAUGUGCGUCUCUUCCAAAGCUGUGCGCUCGGUUGAAGAGGACGGCCUUCCCCGAAUAGAGACGGACCGGUCUUUGGUCAAGGGUAUAUGAGUAGCUGCGCUCCCCUGCUAGAACCUCCAAACAACAAGCUCUUUAAAAAAAUAUAAAUUUAUUAAGUCAUUAGUUAGAGACAUUCAGUAUUCCAACAGAAAUU
rnacentral:snRNA from 1 species